rnacentral:miRNA from 1 species
AAACUAAUAUACCCAUAUUCUG